GAGGGAAUCUUCGGCAAUGGACGAAAGUCUGACCGAGCAACGCCGCGUGAGUGAAGAAGGUUUUCGGAUCGUAAAACUCUGUUGUUAGAGAAGAACAAGGACGUUAGUAACUGAACGUCCCCUGACGGUAUCUAACCAGAAAGCCACGGCUAACUACGUGCCAGCAGCCGCGGUAAUACGUAGGUGGCAAGCGUUGUCCGGAUUUAUUGGGCGUAAAGCGAGCGCAGGCGGUUUCUUAAGUCUGAUGUGAAAGCCCCCGGCUCAACCGGGGAGGGUCAUUGGAAACUGGGAGACUGAGGUGCAGAGGGGGAGAGUGGAAUUCCAUGUGUAGCGGUAAAAUGCGUGGUUAUAUGGAGGAACACCAGUGGCGAAGGCGGCUCUCAGGUCUGUAACGGACGCUGAGGCUCGAAAGCGUGGGGAGCAAACAGG
rnacentral:rRNA from 1 species